CCCUUAAUAGCUCAGUGGUAGAGGAAAGGACUGUAAAGGUUAAUGGCAAUCUUGAUGGUGCUGGUUUGAAUCUAGCUUGAUGGU
rnacentral:tRNA from 1 species